UACGAAGGUGGCAAGCGUUGCUCGGAAUCACUGGGCGUAAAGGGUGCGUAGGCGGGUCUUUAAGUCAGGGGUGAAAUCCUGGAGCUCAACUCCAGAACUGCCUUUGAUACUGAAGAUCUUGAGUUCGGGAGAGGUGAGUGGAACUGCGAGUGUAGAGGUGAAAUUCGUAGAUAUUCGCAAGAACACCAGUGGCGAAGGCGGCUCACUGGCCCGAUACUGACGCUGAGGCACGAAAGCGUGGGGAGCAAACAGG
rnacentral:rRNA from 1 species